ACCGGCGCACGGGUGCGUAACACGUAUACAAUCUGCCUUUAACAGGGGGAUAGCCCGGAGAAAUCCGGAUUAAUACCCCAUAAUACUCUGAGUAGCACUACUUGAAGUUGAAAGCUCCGGCGGUUAAAGAUGAGUAUGCGUCUGAUUAGCUAGUUGGUGAGGUAACGGCUCACCAAGGCGACGAUCAGUAGGGGAUCUGAGAGGAUUAACCCCCACACGGAUACUGAGACACGGAUCCGACUCCUACGGGAGGCAGCAGUAAGGAAUAUUGGACAAUGCCCGCAAGGGUGAUCCAGCCAUGCCGCGUGCAGGAAGACGGCCCUAUGGGUUGUAAACUGCUUUUACACCGGAGAAAACCCCACUACGUGUAGUGGGCUGAUAGUAUGGUGAGAAUAAGCAUCGGCUAACUUCGUGCCAGCAGCCGCGGUAAGACGAAGGAUGCAAGCGUUAUCCGGAUUCAUUGGGUUUAAAGGGAGCGUAGGCGGCCUGAUAAGUCAGCGGUGAAAUCUCCUCGCUUAACGAGGAAAUUG
rnacentral:rRNA from 1 species